GCCUAUGUGUGUGUGUGUGUGUGUGCAUAUAAUAAACCACAUCUCUUUAGCAGACUCACCCUUCUCUCUGGGUUCUGCUGAACCUGUUGCACCUUGGUUCCCCACUGCUGCGCUGACAGCCUCCUUGCCUCUUUGAAUCUCCCCAGCCGUUUUCUGUAACCCUGACCUCUCUUAGGGAGUUUAUGGCCAUUUUAGUGUCCAAUAUGUUUCCAUUCCUUGGAUGAACAACUUCCUUCCAAUCCCCUUGGCUCUUGGCUCCCUCCUCUCAUUUUGUCUCCUCUGCUAUGCCUCUUGACUCAUGGUCCAUCCCCUCCCCAAUCAAAUCUCUGCUCACAGGUUAACCGUGAGCAUUAAAUAAUGUGAACAUUAAAUAUUGAUUUGAGUUAAUAGAAUUGUUUUUUUUUGUCUUAAUUUAAAAAAAAAUCUGAAUUCCAAGAUUCAAAGAAAGUUUUUUUCAUUGUUCCACGCCUCAGAUUUCUGAGUUUGCAUCUCACACUUUUUUUUUUUCUUCACUUUUUUUUCCACCGAAAAAAUAAAAAAGGCAAUUUUAACUUUUUAUCUCAUAAUUUGGACUUCAUUGUGUCGGAAUUGUGAGAUAUAAACUUAGAUCACUGUGUAAUUAUAGGAACAAUAGGUCCAUACUGAGGGUUUGCACUCAUUCAACUCCUUUUUAUUGUUUCACAUCCUUUCUGUAUCUGUACAAAAAUUCAUAUUUUGUUUCAUUCAGUUGCUAUCUUACAAGCACUCAUUUUGAGUGUAGCAUUGAUUGAAUGUUUGCAAAGCUGCUCUGUAUCCUAUACUCUACAAGCAGUAUUUCUGUUGCACUGCAAGUGAUUUGUAUUAUAAUGAUAAGAUUCCCAAUUGCUCUGAGAUAUGAAACUUAAAAGAGUUUUGGCAAGUCAGCCAGCCUUGUGUUACUGAGUAUGAGAGCUUUUGCAAAUAACCUCCAGGUGGAUGGGACUCUUUGAUUUGUUCAGAAUGUUAAAUGAAGUGCAUCAACGAUUCAGAUUACAGAUGUCCAAUCAGAAAGCAAGUGUUGCCUUUGUGGGCGCUUGCACAAUGUAGUUCAAUAGAGAGACAAAACAGUGUCUCUAUUGUAUUACAACUUCAUGUAGCAUGAUAUAAUCACCCACAAUUCCUGUCCACUCACUCUCCUGCUGUCAUGCCAUUCAAGUGUGAGACAUUAAUUGUUGUAAACGCUUUAAUUAAAUCUUUCUGUUUCAGCCUUUCUAUUCAUUUCCUCAUUUCUCUCAGGAUUUGUGUCAAAUGUUGUCCUGACACAGAUUUUCUUAUGACAGUGGCCUAUUUAUUGCCUUUAAUUGAUGAACAAAGAUGCAGUAUACAGAUACAGUUUCACUUCGCCAAUCAGUGGUCCUGAACAUGGAAUUUUUAAUUGUUGCUCUUGAAAAGUACUCCGAAGUUUUCUGGAAGCUCAGCUCAUGGGAACAACAUCAUAGGGUGCUUUUGGAGGGGACUAUGUUUAGACCAGUGAUUCUUAAACCACAAGAUGAUAAUUAUUUAAAAGAACAUGUAUUGAAAUGCUAAAAUUACAAUUUCAAAUAAGCUAGAAGUUAAAUAAGUUAACAGCAUCAAUAAAGCAUGUAUUUUGUUUUAACAAAGGAAUAGUGCUUUAAAGCAUUCAUUUCAUGUUUUGAUAUUCAUUGCUAUUCAAUUUUAAUUAACAGUUCUAGUUUCUUAUAAUGGGGGCUUUUGAGCAUUGACUUUGAGAACCACUGAUCUAGACUAGAGCUCUUGUAAUACCAUUCUUGACGUAAUACUGAAAUGUAGUUUAAUGAAACAUUGUGGCUAGGUGCAGUACUUAAGAUUUAUUCAAAUUGAAUGUAAUUAGAUUGCAAAUGCACGUAAAGAGAAAAUUCAGUCCCUUGGUUCACUUAGUCUUUCAGCAGCUGUAGUGUUGCUGGUAUUUCCAAUGUUUCAGUGUCAGCACUACUGAUAUUGACUUUUAAUAGCUAGCGUCUGUCUGGAAGGGGUCAAAGUCAACAGCAGACUGACUGUUUGUACGGAAAGGUUUUUUAAGCCUUACACCUCUUUUACGCAACAUUACCAAAUCUCUUGCUCUCUAACUGUCUUCCUCUUGUCCUCUUACAAAAAUAUUGGAAACCUCUUGUUAAAUAAUAGCAUAUUAUUAAUAAUGACCCAUGAAUGACUCUGAAACCACUUACAAUCCAAUACAACUGUUCUAUAUUAAUUUUUAUGUUGUUUUGGUUUUACAGAAAUAGAAGGGAAGAAAAUGAACUUCGUAUGACAUAAUACUGACUUCCAGACCAAACCAUUUGGAUUUGAUACAAGCCCUCAGUGUUAUUCUGCAGGAGAACACUGGGAUGCCAAGAAGUGAAGGGCAGACUGAAGCUGCAUUUAAUCCCUUAACUGUUGAUGUCACUCACAACAUGAUCCAGUCUCAGAUAAAAAGACCCUCCGCCUAUAGGUAAGAAAAGUGAACCUGCGACCUCCAGGUGUCAGGCAUGCCAGUCUGUGGAGUAAAGAGCAGUUCGUUAGUUGAAUUGCCAUUUGAUGCUUAAGUGUCUACCACAACAUCCUACAGUAACUGACAAACUAUGUCUUUACAUACACCCUUUCUCUCUCUUAAAAUCUGUCCUUUUUCAAGUCCAAGUAUUAUUCUGAAAGACUUUGUUCCAGUCCAGAUUUGAUGAACGUUAAACAUGAUAUUAUACUUUGUGCACCAACUGUUUUAGGAAAAACAAUGCGUUUUAUUAAAGUCACAUUCAUUUUCCUGCA